rnacentral:rRNA from 1 species
UACGUAGGGUGCAAGCGUUAAUCGGAAUACUGGGCGUAAAGCGUGCGCAGGCGGUUCGUUAAGUUCGUUGUGAAAGCCCCGGGCUUAACCUGGGAAUGGCAUUUGGGACUGCAAGGCUUGAGUGCGGCAGAGGAGACUGGAAUUCCUGGUGUAGCAGUGAAAUGCGUAGAUAUCAGGAGGAAUACCGAUGGCGAAGGCAGGUCUCUGGGCUGACACUGACGCUCAUGCACGAAAGCGUGGGGAGCGAAACAAGGAUU